UGGGGAAUAUUGGACAAUGGGCGCAAGCCUGAUCCAGCCAUGCCGCGUGAGUGAUGAAGGCCCUAGGGUUGUAAAGCUCUUUCAACGGUGAAGAUAAUGACGGUAACCGUAGAAGAAGCCCCGGCUAACUUCGUGCCAGCAGCCGCGGUAAUACGAAGGGGGCUAGCGUUGUUCGGAAUAACUGGGCGUAAAGCGCACGUAGGCGGAUUGGAAAGUUAGAGGUGAAAUCCGUGGGCUCAACCCAGGAACUGCCUUUAAAACUAUCAAUCUAGAGUUCGAGAGAGGUGAGUGGAAUUCCGAGUGUAGAGGUGAAAUUCGUAGAUAUUCGGAAGAACACUAGUGGCGAAGGCGACUCACUGGACAGUUAUUGACGCUGAGGUGCGAAAGCGUGGGGAGCAAACAGGAUUAGAUACCCGCGUAGUCC
rnacentral:rRNA from 1 species